AAGCCAUGCAAGUCUAAGCUCAAACCAUAUAAUGGUAAAGCCGCGGAAAGCUCAUUACAACAGCCAUUGUUCACUUGAUCUUGAAAAUCCUACUUGGAUAACUGUGGUAAUUCUAGAGCUAAUACAUGCAACAAUGCUCUGGUAGCCCUUCGGGGUGACGAGCGCAAUUAUUAGAACAAAACCAAUCGGGCUUCGGUCUGUCGGUUUGGUGGAUCUGAAUAACUAUAGCUGAUCGCACAGUCUUCGUACUGGCGACGCAUCUUUCAAGUGUCUGUCCUAUCAGCUGUCGAUGGUAUUCUAUACGAUUACCAUGGCUGUAACGGGUAACGGAGAAUAAGGGUUCGACUCCGGAGAGGGAGCCUGAGAAACGGCUACCACAUCCAAGGAAGGCAGCAGGCGCGCAAAUUACCCACUCUCGGUACGAGGAGGUAGUGACGAAAAAUAACGAGGCGGUUCUCUAAGAGGCCCGCUAUCGGAAUGGGUACAAUUUAAACCCUUUAACGAGGACCUAUGAGAGGGCAAGUCUGGUGCCAGCAGCCGCGGUAAUUCCAGCUCUCAAGGUGUAUAUCGUCAUUGCUGCGGUUAAAAAGCUCGUAGUUGGAUCUAUGGUUUUAGGAGCCGGUCCACCCGAUGGGUGCGAACUGGUUUCCAAGCCUCUAGUCGCUGGUCUAUCCUUGAUGCUCUUAACCGGGUGUCCUGGGUGGCUAGUGAGUUUACUUUGAAAAAAUUAGAGUGCUCAGGACAGGCUUAUACGCCUGAAUAGUGGUGCAUGGAAUAAUAGAAUAGGACCUCGGUCCAUUUUAUUGGUUUUGGUCCCGAGAUAAUGGUUAAGAGGGACAGACGGGGGCAUUCGUAUCGCUGCGUGAGAGGUGAAAUUCUUGGACCGUAGCGAGACGAACUACUGCGAAAGCAUUUGCCAAGAAUGUCUUCAUUAAUCAAGAACGAAAGUCAGAGGUCG
rnacentral:rRNA from 1 species